rnacentral:rRNA from 1 species
UACGUAGGGUCCAAGCGUUAUCCGGAAUCACUGGGCGUAAAGCGUGCGUAGGUGGAUUGUUAAGUGCGGUGCGAAAUCCUGUGGCUCAACCAUAUGGACUGUAUCGCAUACUGGCAACCUAGAGGACAUGAGAGGCAAGUGGAAUUACUGGUGUAGCAGUGAAAUGCGUAGAGAUCAGUAGGAACACCAAUGGCGAAGGCAGCUUGCUGGCAUGUAUCUGACGCUAAGGCACGAAAGCGUGGGGAGCAAACAGG